AUUGCGAAAAUGGUCCAUUUUGAAGAAAUAAAUGGAUGCUGCCGUUUUUCAAAUCAAAUAAACCCCUUUUCUCAACUCCUAAAAAAUAAUUCCCCUCUGCCAUUCCCAAAAUGUGCCGCAGCAGCACCUCUGCUCUCCAUCAUUUCCGACCCACUUCGCUCCGACAACCGCGAAACGAAAGGGUUUUCCAACGACGCCGCGAGGAAACACUAGAGGAGACGUGUAUAACGUGUGAGGCUACUGAACGCGAGAGAAGCGACGUGGGGCGACAUUCGCGGAGGCAUGCGAGGGAGUCGUGCAGCGCGUCCUAGGGUUUCUGCCUCAUUUGCCAAAAACAUCUUGUGGGCCAAUUGGGCCAAUUUCUGCUGUUUGGGAUAAGCUAUUGGGCCGAUUGGGUUAUUUGUAAAAAUGGAUUGUUUAUUGUAUUUGUUAUUUUAAGGUUUAUACAUUGGGCCCGGGCUAAAAUGGCCUAUUACAUCUAGUAAUGCUUCAUAACCCUGUUUUAGUGACGGACACGGGUUAGGGGUGUUACAAUAACUACUCAUGAUUUCAAAAGACGCAGCUUUGACAGUUGUGUUUAUUUUAAGAAAAACAGUUAUGGUUCUUUUAUGUA